UACGUAGGCUGCAAGCGUUAUCCGGAAUUAUUGGGCGUAAAGCGUACGCAGGCGGUUUGUUAAGUUGGAUGUCAAAGCCCUGAGCUCAACUCAGGUCAGGUGUCCAAUACUGACAGACUGGAGAUAGGCAGAGGUAAGUGGAAUUCUGUAUGUAGGGGUAAUAUCCGUAGAUAUACAGAGGAACACCAAAAGCGAAGGCAGCUUACUGGGCCUUUUCUGACGCUCAUGUACGAAAGCGUGGGGAGCAAACGGG
rnacentral:rRNA from 1 species